rnacentral:lncRNA from 1 species
UUAUUACAUAUAUUAGGUUUUUUUUUUUUUUUUUGUAAAAAUAUAUAUAUAUGAACUCAUAAUGCCAGAUACAUAGAAUUAAGCCAACAAUUCAAUAUUUGAUAUUAAUAUGCAAUGAAUUUUUUAACAUUAAUGUCUUAUUUUUCUUUUUGCAAAAUUAUUAACUCUCUCCUUACAAUCUGCAUAGAAUUAAUUGUGCACAUCAAAUAUGCAAUAGGGGUAUUUUAGGCAUCUAAAAAUGUAAAAUGUGUAAAGUAAUAUGUAAUUAAUGAAUUCACUUAGGUGGAUCCUAGUCACUGGAAUUUUUUUUUUUUUUGUGUAAAAAAAUUAUGUUGGGUUUUAUAUGAAAAAAUUUGAAUUUGAAGGGUUAAGUCAGAUUUUCAGUUAUUUAUAUUCUAGAUUUUGUAAUCAGUCUUAGUUAUUAUAUCUUUUAUUAAGAAAGUCUUAGUUAUUAUAUCUUUUAUUAAGAAAAUCUGAUUAAAUAUUGAAUUAUAAGACACUAUAAAGUAACUUUAGAACAUACUCCACUAAUGAUCGUGGUAAUUGUACACGCACCUGAGACAUCGAGAGGGGAGUGGCCAUUUUCUUUGAACAGCUCAAAGUGAUGCAACAAUGAGAACAUCGUCGGCGACUGGGUCCAAAGCGAAGCCACCGGAAUAUUCCUCCUAAUCCCGAUCCUCAAAGCCCAAACAAGGAAGGUAUCAGCAACUAUGGCGGUCACCGGCUGCUCGAGCCCAUCCAUAAGCUGCUCAACCGGAGCUUCCAGCUUGGUCCACACAGCUUCCGCAAACGCGGCAAAGUGGUUCGCGCGACCGUGCUCUGAGGGUAGGACGUUAGGUAUGGUGGCUAAUCGGAUGUUGUCGGGUUUUGGGUCGGACUCGAUCAGCCCGUGCCACUCUUCGGUGACGACGAAGGUGAUGAGCAGUUGAGGGUUUUUUGAAGAUAGUAGCUUGCAGAGGUUCAUCAUGGGGUUGAUGUGGCCUCUUCCAGGAGUGGGCAAAGCCACCACGUGGCAGACUGUGAUUGGCUCAACUUCCCCUGUGCCCAUUUCUCCCUUGUAUGAAGAUUGAAUAUUGAAGCUUUGGAGCUAUUGCCAUCCCUUCUUAUGUAUAAUAUGCAAGUUGACUGAAGGGUCAUGGGGAGCUGCUUGCGUGAAACUCUUUGAAGACAAAAAUACCCUCAUGGUCGCCAUGAGUGUAACAAGUGUGUAAAAAGUAUUUGUGAUUGACGCUUUGUCCAAUUAAUCUUGGAAAGCGAUUCUCCUGAUUCUUUCUUCAUAAUCCACCAAAUUCAAAAAUUCAGGCUGUUGAAAUUUGAUUUUACGGCUACAAACAGGGGCCCAAUUUAAAAGUUAUAUUAACUUUAGUCGUUGAAUCAAAUUUCAACAAUCCGGAUUCCCGAACUUGAUGGAUUAUAAGAAAUGGAUCCGAAGAUGAUCUCUUUCCAUUAAUCUUUUUCAAAAGUAUAUAAAAGGAAUUUUCAAUUGACUCUUUUUAAAUAGUCAUUUUCAAAUUUCUUUCGUAUGUCUUUGUAACGCACAUGUUGUAGAAAAUGCGGAUCGUUUUUCUUGACAAAGUGAGUAGAAAAUUCGAUGUUAGGGCAAGCAUGAGCCAUGCCUUUCAACCCACGUGGGAUCUAGAAGUUGACACCCAAAUGUAAACUUGAAAAGUAUUUUUUUUUUGUUGGAAAUUUGAAAAGUAACAUUAAGAAAACUAAAAAGUAAUGCUAGGCAGAUUAAACUAGCAAACUAAAUGAUGUGUCACUAAUAAAAAUAAAUAAACACGUUAAUCAAUAGUUAAUAAUAAUUCAAUUAUUAACUUUCAUUUUAAUUUAUUAAAUUUAGUCAACAAAUGUAGUCACCAUAACAUUAUCCAAAACUAAAAUGGAUCCACCUCUUCUUCUUAUCCAGCAACCUUAGAUCCCAAUAGGUUGACGGAGAACAACACCACGUACCUCUCCACUGGAAACUCCCACCUCGAUCACUUCGUCAACAUCGUGACGAGAAGCUCCCGCAAGCCUGGGCCUACAAGGUGCGGAGGACCCAACGGGUGGAGUGGAGGAAAAGGAAAAGGAAAAUUAAAUAUUAAAGAGAAAAACCUUUAGUAUAUCCAUUCUCGGUACAAUUAAAUAAGAAAAGCGUUUCUAAGAGCAGUAGAUAAGCAACACCUAUCCCAAAUAUGGAACCGGAUCCUCUCCGGAUCCAAGAGAUCUGAGUACACUAAUUAAUGCAUAUAGGCUAUUGAAAUUAGAUCAAACGACUACAAACAGAGAGUUUAUCUGAAAGUUAUAAUAAUUGUAGUUGUUGGAUCAAAUUUCAAUUGUCUGGAUACAUUGAUUAGUGGGCACAUAUCUUUUUGAAUCCGGAGGGGAUCCAGUUCCCCCAAUUAUGAAUAUCUUGAAUACAAUAUCUUAAGUUUAUAAUAUUUUUUUUAGUACAUAUAACACAACCGAACCCAAAUCACCAACACAAUCUCUCCACUCAGAAGCAUCUCCACGAGCCACCCAAAAAACCCUAACACAACUACUUUUCACCGCAGCAGCAAUUUCAUCCAUUUGGGAUUUCGAAACUGAUCGGAAACUUCCCCUGGAGAUGUACAAAACUGACUUUUUGGGUUGAGAAUCUAGCCAAUGCAGAUAAUCGAUGUCGUUUUGAUUAGUGGGAAGAGUUUUUGAAAGUUCAAAGUGAGGUAUGGAUGGGCCAGUAGGGUAGAUAGGGAAAGCAAACGUGGCCUUGAAGGCUUCAAAGACUUGCGGAUCAAGCUCGUAGACUGAAGUGAACAAAAGAUACUGUGCUUUCUCUACUACUUGAGCAACUGCUUCAAGGGCCUUGGGGACGACAUUUUGAUGGUCUGCAAAAAACGCUGGAGAUAGAUCUGCAAGCUUGUGGUGCUGACUCCAGGAAUGUAUUCUACCAUCUCAUCUCCACGUUCUGCAAUUUUCACAUAACAUUUUACGUCGUGCAACAUUAUUAUAUUGUAUAUUAACCAAGAAAAAAUGUUUUUUCUUUUACAAAACCUUAAAAUUUAAGAUCCUCAAAAUUAUAGAGCAUGCAUAUAAGAAAAGUAUCUGCUAUGUAAGUAUUACAGUUGAGAAUAACUAAAUUAAAUAAUACAAAUUGUUCAUAAGAAUGUCUUAAGCUCGCAAAUACAUCUACUUGUUUAUAAAUUAGAGAAUGGCUGUACGCAAUUUUUUUCAAACUGAUACAAUUAUUUCUGGCAUAUGAAUAAAAUAUUAAGUGUCUUAAGUAUAUGAAUAAAAUAAUAUAAGAAAAUAUAACGAAAAAUCCUUAAAAACUUUAGUUUUAAUUAAAAUGACAAAAUAAAGGUAUAAGUAUGGUACCAUGAGUGAUUUUUCAAGGUAAAAAUAUUAUUAACGUUAAAUGUGAACAAUACCAUAAGUAUUUCAUUAAUAUUUCCUAAAAUAUAAUAUAUUGUCUUAAGCUAAGGAAGAAUCUAAUGUUUUUUUAAAGGGGUAUAAUUGGUGAUGAAUCACAAUUAUUCACCUAUUUAGAUUCAAAGAAAGUAAAAAUUACAUCUUAUUUUUAAUUACGAUCAAAUAAAUUCACAACUUACAAAUUAAAGACCAUGGCAUAUAAAAUUCAUAUGGUCAUGGUCAAUUUUGAGCUUUCAAGUGCAAAAUUGUUAAUAAAGCACAAAUUCAUCUCAGAAGUCUCUAACACCUCCCGAUAAUACAGGCCACGUGCUUUAUCCUUUUGGCAAGUGGCAUGUGACAAAUUACCAACUUGGAAGACAAAAAAGCAUUUAAUAUUUCAGGGUUCGUAAUCAUUCUCAGUUAUACGCAUCAAAAUCUUUCGCGCAACUGUGCUCGAAGGGUAUGACGUUGGGUAUGGUGGCUAAUCGGAUGUUGUCGGGUUUUGGGUCGGAUUCAAUGAACCCGUGCCACUCUUCGGUGAUGACGAAGGUGAUGAGGAGUUGAGGGUUUUUUUGAAGAUAGUAGCUUGCAGAGGUUCAUCAUGGGGUUGAUGUGGCCUCUUCCCAGAUAAGGCAAAGCCACCACGUGGUAGACUGUGAUUGUCUCAACUUUCGCUGUGCCUAUUUCUCCCUUGUUUGAAAACUUUGAAGCUUUGAAGCUAUUGCUAUCCCUUCUCCUAUAUAAUCUAAAUUACAUAUUAAUAGAACUCUCAUUGUUAAUCAAAAAUUUAUAAAAUUACUAAUUUAAUUCUCUAAUUAAAAUUGAACAUGAAUAAGAAAUAUGGGCAGAAAUGUAAUCUUCCACAACCAAAAUUUUGUUUUUUUUAAAGCCUCACAUACAUGUGAUUCUAAUAUAUCUCUAAUAAAAAUUAAAAAUUAAAAUAAUAAAAUAAAAAAUAAAGCUCUCUCUCCUCGCUCACUCUCUUCCUCUCUCCUUCACUUAAAAAAAAACACUCACACACACACACACACACUUUGUGUGCGGCCAUAUACUAGUAUAUAAUAAGGAAAAAUAAUGAAAAAAGCUUCAAAAUUGUGAAUUUUAACUAAAAAUUUUGUAAUAAUUUUAUUUAAUAAUAAGGGAAGAGGUUCCUCUUCAGAUCCUCUUUGUGGGGAUCCGGAGGAUCAAUCAAUCGUGUCUAUUCAUCGUACAUCGUGCGGUUAAAAAUAAUCUUAAAUUUUAAUUUAAAAUUGAAUAUAAAUAGUAUUUAACAAAAACUGAUCGCAUGAUGUACGAUAAACGGAUACGAUUGAUUGAUCCUCGGUUCCCACAAAGAGGAUUUGGAGAGGAUCCUUGUCCGUUAAUAAGGACAAGAUAGAAAAAUAGAAAGAAAAAAAAAACCAAAAUAAAGGUGCGUGUAAGGAACUUCAGGCCAAGAAGACUUCUUCCAAAAUAGUGUCAGAUAAAGGCAUGCCAACUUGUAUUCAGUUUCAGCAAUAGUGUCCUUGUUCUGCUUUAGAAAUUAGUGUAGUACCUAUGUAGUUUCUGAAAUAAUUAGCGUUUAAUUUUCAGAAAUAGUGUUCAGUUUCAGAAAUAAUAUAGUACCGUUCAGUUAUAAAAAUAGUGUAAUACUGUUCAGUUUUAGAAAUAGUGUGUGUGAUGGACGCAAGCGCGUCAUUUUUUUUCUUGUAUUAAUAUAUUGAACUUUUGUUAUUUUCAUUAAAAUUUUAAGUUUUUUUUUUCAUUAAAUAAAUUUAUAAAAUGAUUUUUUUUCUAAAAUAAACUUAGACGAUACCUAUAUAUAUGCAAAUAGACUAGGGAGCUGCUUAUGAAACUCCUUGAAAGACAAAAAUACCCCCAUUGCCUCCGUCAGCAUUACAAAAGCGUAUAAAAAUGAUUCUCCUCAGCAGGUCAUUGAAGUCUUCAACAAUAUAGCCAAUGGCAGACAUAAUAAUGGUAGAAUCCUUUAGUGCUGAGACGAUUUGAAGCAAAUUCGACUAUCAAUAGACAUUUACCCAAGAAAUUUUUAAGUACAUAUAACACAACCAAACUGCAAAAAGAAAAUAAACUCCUCACUCAUAUUGAUACCUCUAGUUAUAAGUUGAAUAUAACAAUUGUAUUGAAACGCAAGCAAUCGUGUCUAAGAGCUACCACAUUCAUCAGCUUAAUGGCAAUUAUAUCCUUGUGAAAUAUCCUUAAUAAAAGCAUCAAGGUUUCUAUCAGAUGAGCCACCAUUAGCAAUUGCACCUCGACAAAUCUCUUGAAGUUGUUUAGCUCUUUCCCUCAAAUCUUUCCCUUCCUCGCUUUCCACAUCCAUAAACUUCUUCACAAUUUCUCCAAUUUCCUCGCUACUCACAAGAAGUUCGACCCCCGCCUUCUUCUUCACCCGGUAUCCAAUCCUCCAAUCUUCCACAAUCUGCUUACCGUUUGGAAUUUGAUCCCAAAAUAUAGGGAAAGUAAGAAUUGGAAGACCAGCAUAAACUGCUUCCAAAGUUGAAUUCCAACCACAAUGUGACCAAAACCCACCAAUUGAAUCGUGACACAACACCCUCAAUUGGUCACACCAAGGCACCACCAAACCCAAAUCACCAACAAAAUCUCUCAACUCACAAGCAUCUACACGAGCCACCCAAAAAACCCUAACACCACUACUUUUCACGCCAGCAACAAUUUCAUCCAUUUGGGAUUUCGAAACCGAGAGGAAACUUCCCAUGGAGAUGUACAAAACUGACUUUUUGGGUUGAGAAUCUAGCCAAUGCAGAUAAUCGAUGUCGUUUUGAUUAGUGGGAAGAGUUUUUGAAAGUUCAAAGUGAGGUAUGGAUGGGCCAAUAGGGUAGAUAGGGAAAACAAACUUCGCUUUGAGGGCUUCAAAGACUUGCGGAUCAAGCUCGUAGACUGAAGUGAACAAAAGAUACUUUGCUUUCUCUGCUUCAGAAAUUCCUUCAAUUGCCUUGUGGAGGACUUUUGGAUCGUCUGUGAAAAAGAUUGCGGGUAGAUCUGCAAUGCAUGUGGUGCUGACUCCAGGAAUGUAUUCUACUAUCUCAUCUCCACGCUCUGUAAUUUUCACAUGAUAAUUUACGUCGUACAACAUUAUUAUAUUGUAUAUCAACCAAGAACAAAUGCUUUUUCUUCUACAAAACCAUAAAAUUUAAGAACAUUGCACCAAGAAGCCUCGGUAUACAUAUAAGAAAAGAUAUCAUGCUAUAUUACAGUUGAGGAUUACUAAAUUAACCAAAUACAAAUUGUUCAUAAGAAUGUCUUAAGCUCGCAAAUGCAUCAACUUCUUUAUAAAUUAGAGAAAGGCUUUAAGCAAUUUAUUCAAACUGAUAUAAUUAUUUCUGGUUACCUUACCAAUUUUAUGUUGUGCACUUAUUAGACAUAAGUGUCUUAAGUAUAUGAACAAAUAUAAUAUAUUGUCUUCUGCUAAAGAAGAAUCUAAUGUAUUUUUUUAAAAGGGAGACAAUUGGUGGCGAACUAUUAUUCAUCUUUUUCGGGUUCGGAGGAGGUAGGAAUUGCACCCUACCCGUAACCAUGAUCAAGCAUAUUCACACUUAUAAGUUAAAGAUCAAGGCAUUAAAUUGAUAAGGUCAGGGUCAAUUUUUUUUUCUUUUAUUUUGUUGUUGAACAAACGAUGUUAUCUUCACUGAGGGGAGGGGGGGUGAGCUUAGCCUCACAAUAGAUUAACGAUAAUAUGGUUCACAUUUUCUUUUGGUGAGAAUCGAAUCUAAGACUUUUUACUUACAAGUGAAGAUAAAUACUACUAAAUUGUAGUAUUAAGUGGCAGGUCUUGGUCAAUUUUGAGCCUUUUCUUUUUCAGUGUAAAAUUGUUAAUAAAGCAAAUUCAUCUCAAAAGUCUCUAACAUCCCAAUAAUACGCCACAUGCUCUAUCCUUUUGGCAGGUGGCAAGCGACAAAUAACCAACUUGGAAGGAAAAAUAUGGGUAACACUAUAUAGACAAAAAAUUUAUAUUAAAUUUGCAAACUAAAUGAUGUGUCACUAAUAAAGAUCAAACACGUUACUCAAGACUUAAGUAAUAAUUUAAUUAUCAAUUUUCAUGUUAUUUAGUUUACAAAAUUUAGUCUACAAAAUUAUUUUUCUGAGCAUUGCUCGACCGAGAAUAAUUGGAGUGUGACAACUUACAAGACUGAGAUGAGAGUCAAGAUGUUUGAUGAGCACAAUAUAAGACCAGCAAUAUUUACAAUUAUUUUAAUUUUGUAUCUUCCGUUUGGAAAUUGGAAAUAAAAAAAUUCAACCAUCUAAUUAUCCGUUUGGUAACAUAUUUAUGGCGCUCUGGAAUAUUUAGAUAUUCCAGAGUUCAUGGUCAAUUUUAGUUUCUAUAUUUUUAUAUUAAAAAGAAUUUAUUUAAAUAUUUAAAAAUUAAAAAUUUUGAAUUAUAAGAUACUCUAAAGUAACUUUAGAAAAUAUUUGUGUUUUUAUAGACUUUUAAAGUGGGAACGCAUCUCUAUAUCUUUGUUGGUGUAAUUAGUUAAGUCCGACGAGAGAAAACUUUCACUUCCGGUUUUGAAAGGAUGAAAUCGUAUAAGCUCCUAUCCAAAUUUUCUUUUGAUAGUCCCAUAGCUAAAGAAACCUACUUUCUUAUGAUUCCGAUAUUCAUUUGAAUAUGAAAUCCAAUUUGAAAAAUACAUUAGUCAACUUUUUAUUAUUACCCAAGGCUUUGAUACAUUUUAAAAUAGAGAAAUUUCUACUUCUUAUAUUUUUUUUAUUAAAAAUAUUUGAUUAAAUAUUUAAUAGUUGAAAAUUUGGAAGGAUAGGACUCAUAGGAGCAUACUAGAAAAUAGUCCAAUAAUGAUCGUGGUAAAGUGGAUAUGCACCUGAGACAUCAAGAGCGAAGUGGCCAUUUUCUUUGAACAGCUCAAAGUGAUGCAACACUGAGAACAUCGUCGGCGACUGGGUCCAAAGCGAAGCCACCGGAAUAUUCCUCCUAUUCCCGAUCCUCAAAGCCCAAACAAGGAAGGUAUCAGCAACUAUGGCGGUCACCGGCUGCUCGAGCCCAUCCAUAAGCUGCUCAACCGGAGCUUCCAGCUUGGUCCACACAGCUUCCACAAACGCGGCAAAGUCUUUCGCGCGACCGUGCUCGGAGGGUAUGACGUUGGGUAUGGUGGCUAAUCGGAUGUUUUCGGGUUUCGGGUUUGAUUCGAUGAACCCGCGCCACUCUUCGGUGACGACGAAGGUGAUGAAGAGUUGAGGGUUUUUUGAAGAUAGUUGCUUGCAGAGGUUCAUCAUGGGGUUGAUGUGCCCUCUUCCUGGAUAGGGUAAAGCCACUAGGUGGCAGACGGUGAUUGGCUCAAUCUUCAUUGUGCCCAUUUCUCUUUUGUAUGAAGUUUGAAGACUGAAGAUUGGAGAUUGAAGAUGUGAAGCCCUUGGCACCCAUCUUAUAUAUAAUAUGUAAGUAGACGGAAGGACAAAAAUACCCUCAAGUGUUACUUUAAAAAAAAAAUUAUAGCAAUGAUCUUUUAAUUUUACUCAAUUAGAAUAAUGAUCAUUCAAUAAAAAUUUUAAUUAAAUAUUUAAUAAUUAAAAAUUUUGAAUUAUAAGAUACUUUAAAGUAACUUAGGAAAUACUCCAAUAAUAAUGAUCGCGGUAAGUGUACACGCACCAGAGACAUCAAGGGGGAAGUGGCCAUUUUCUUUGAACAGCUCAAAGUGAUGCAACAUUGAGAACAUCGUCGGCGACGGGGUCCAAAGCGGAGCCACGGGAAUAUUCCUUCUAUUCCCGACCCUCAGUGCCCAAACAAGGAAGGUAUCAGCAACUAUGGCGGUCACCGGCGGCUCGAGCCCAUCCAGAAGCUGCUCAACCGGAGCUUCCACCUUGGCCCACACAGCUUCCAAAAACGCGGCAAAAUCUUUCGCGCGACCGUGCUCGGAGGGUAUGACGUUGGGUAUGGUGACUAAUCGGAUGUUGUCGGGUUUUGGGUCGGAUUCGAUGAACCCGUGCCACUCUUCGGUGACGACGAAGGUGAUGAGGAGUAGAGGGUUUUUUGAAGAUAGUAGCUUGCAGAGGUUCAUCAUGGGGUUGAUGUGGCCUCUUCCCGGAUAAGGCAAAGCCACCACGUGGCAGACUGAUUGUCUCAACUUCCGCUGUGCCCAUUUCUCCCUUGAAGAUUGAAGAC